rnacentral:rRNA from 1 species
ACGAACGCUGGCGGCGUGCUUCACACCUGCAAGUCGAACGGAAAGGCCUCUUUCGGGGGGUACUCGAGUGGCGAACGGGUGAGUAACACGUGAGUAACCUGCCCUUGACUUUGGGAUAACUUCAGGAAACUGGGGCUAAUACCGGAUAGGAGCUCCUGCUGCAUGGUGGGGGUUGGAAAGUUUCGGCGGUUGGGGAUGGACUCGCGGCUUAUCAGCUUGUUGGUGGGGUAGUGGCUUACCAAGGCUUUGACGGGUAGCCGGCCUGAGAGGGUGACCGGCCACAUUGGGACUGAGAUACGGCGCAGACUCCUACGGGAGGCAGCAGUGGGGAAUAUUGCACAAUGGGUGGAAGCCUGAUGCAGCAACGCCGUGUGCGGGAUGACGGCCUUCGGGUUGUAAACCGCUUUCGCUCAUGACGAAGCUUUGUGUGACGGUAGUGGGUAAAGAAGCACCGGCUAACUACGU